rnacentral:rRNA from 1 species
UCGAGCGAGGUCUUCGGGCCUAGCGGCGGACGGGUUAGUAACGCGUGGGAACGUGCCCUUCACUACGGAAUAGUCCCGGGAAACUGGGUUUAAUACCGUAUACGCCCUUCGGGGGAAAGAAUUUCGGUGAAGGAUCGGCCCGCGUCUGAUUAGGUAGUUGGUGGGGUAAUGGCCUACCAAGCCUACGAUCAGUAGCUGGUUUUAGAGGAUGAUCAGCAACACUGGGACUGAGACACGGCCCAGACUCCUACGGGAGGCAGCAGUGGGGAAUCUUAGACAAUGGGCGCAAGCCUGAUCUAGCCAUGCCGCGUGAGUGAUGAAGGCCUUAGGGUCGUAAAGCUCUUUCGCUGGGGAAGAUAAUGACGGUACCCAGUAAAGAAACCCCGGCUAACUCCGUGCCAGCAGCCGCGGUAAUACGGAGGGGGUUAGCGUUGUUCGGAAUUACUGGGCGUAAAGCGCGCGUAGGCGGACUGUUAAGUCGGGGGUGAAAUCCCGGGGCUCAACCCCGGAACGGCCUUCGAUACUGGCAGUCUGGAGUUCGAGAGAGGUGAGUGGAAUUCCGAGUGUAGAGGUGAAAUUCGUAGAUAUUCGGAGGAACACCAGUGG